GUCUGUGGCCAUGCCACCCUGAACGUGCUGGAUGUUCUCUCAUCUCAGAGGCUGAGCAGGGCCCGGCCUGGUUAGUACUUGGGUGGGAGAAAGUUCAUGCUGUGGGAG
ensembl:rRNA 5S_rRNA 5S ribosomal RNA